rnacentral:tRNA from 1 species
AAACAACAGCAUAAAAAAAAAUGCAUAUCGAUUUCGACCCGAUAAGAGCGGCCACGCAUUGUUUU